rnacentral:rRNA from 1 species
CUUUCCCUCUUUCUUCAGGCCUAACACAUGCAAGUCGAGCGGAUGAAGGGAGCUUGCUCCUGGAUUCAGCGGCGGACGGGUGAGUAAUGCCUAGGAAUCUGCCUGGUAGUGGGGGAUAACGUCCGGAAACGGGCGCUAAUACCGCAUACGUCCUGAGGGAGAAAGUGGGGGAUCUUCGGACCUCACGCUAUCAGAUGAGCCUAGGUCGGAUUAGCUAGUUGGUGGGGUAAAGGCCUACCAAGGCGACGAUCCGUAACUGGUCUGAGAGGAUGAUCAGUCACACUGGAACUGAGACACGUUCCAGACUCCUACGGGAGGCAGCAGUGGGGAAUAUUGGACAAUGGGCGAAAGCCUGAUCCAGCCAUGCCGCGUGUGUGAAGAAGGUCUUCGGAUUGUAAAGCACUUUAAGUUGGGAGGAAGGGCAGUAAGUUAAUACCUUGCUGUUUUGACGUUACCAACAGAAUAAGCACCGGCUAACUUCGUG